rnacentral:rRNA from 1 species
GAUGAACGCUGGCGGCGUGCCUAAUACAUGCAAGUCGAGCGAACAGAUGAGGAGCUUGCUCCUCUGACGUUAGCGGCGGACGGGUGAGUAACACGUGGAUAACCUACCUAUAAGACUGGGAUAACUUCGGGAAACCGGAGCUAAUACCGGAUAAUAUAUUGAACCGCAUGGUUCAAUAGUGAAAGACGGUUUUGCUGUCACUUAUAGAUGGAUCCGCGCCGCAUUAGCUAGUUGGUAAGGUAACGGCUUACCAAGGCAACGAUGCGUAGCCGACCUGAGAGGGUGAUCGGCCACACUGGAACUGAGACACGGUCCAGACUCCUAAGGGGGGCAGCAGUAGGGAAUCUUCCGCAAUGGGCGAAAGCUUGACGGAGCAACGCCGCGUGAGUGAUGAAGGUCUUCGGAUCGUAAAACUCUGUUAUUAGGGAAGAACAAAUGUGUAAGUAACUAUGCACGUCUUGACGGUACCUAAUCAGAAAGCCACGGCUAACUACGUG